UAAAACCACGAUUUGUGGAAUUCUAGACGUGUUCAGUUUAUUUUUAAAACAACUAAUGAUAGCCACUUGAGUUGGGACAAGAUAACCAUGCGUCGCUUGUCAACUGAUCGUCGAAAAGUGCGUAAAAUAAAACUGAAUUAGUGUUUUAUGAUCCGAGUCACAAUAAUUUGUUUGCAAUAAGGCAGAGGUCAAUCGACUGGAACUAUUCGAAACAGAAAAACAAAGAUUUUAAUGCACUGUUAAGAAGUAAGUUCGAUCUGAAACGCUUUAAAGUUCAAAAUGAAUCGUCAUUCAAGGGUCAACUAAACUUGAGGCAAGAACGCGGCCUAGGACGAUUCAGUUUACUUUGUAUAUCUUUAAACGAAAUAAAGUGAUAAUCAAGUAGA